rnacentral:lncRNA from 1 species
UAGUAUCAUUCACUCGGGUAUUCGGGACACUUUUCGUGUCGGGGUACUCUUCACAGGGUACUAUUCCCGAAGUACUAUUCACGGGAUACUAUUCACCAAAAAAAUAUAUUUCUUUUAUGUCCAAAUUAUUUUUGGUACAUGAAUAUUAUUCUUGAAUUUUACUCCACAAAAUAGUAUCAUGUUGACAAUUUGGACGUUAUUGAUUUUUGGAUAAAUUAAAAUUAUAAAUCUUUAAAAUUUAUCCUUGGAAUUGUUUAAUUAAAUUAUUAUGUCAUUGUCAUCAUCCCCAUGCUUAUAUUGUGAUUAAAGUCAUCUUUGGCUUACGUGCAUAGAUGGACUUGGUAUGAUUAUGACCAGGGAUUAUUCGGUAUAAUCAUGACCGUAAUGUGACGAAUGAUGUGGUAAAAAUCCUCAUUGGCAUGUAGUUCAUUGAUGGACAGUUGUUGGUAUGAUUAUGACCAGGGAUUAUUCGGUAUAAUCA